AGAGUUUGAUCCUGGCUCAGGACGAACGCUGGCGGCGUGCCUAAUACAUGCAAGUCGAGCGGACAUCUUCGGAUGUCAGCGGCGGACGGGUGAGUAACACGUGGGCAAUCUGCCUGUCAGACUGGAAUAACACUCGGAAACGGGUGCUAAUGCCGGAUGACACACGGGAAGGCAUCUUCCUGUGUUGAAAGGUGCAACUGCAUCGCUGAUAGAGGAGCCCGCGGCGCAUUAGCUAGUUGGUGAGGUAACGGCCCACCAAGGCGACGAUGCGUAGCCGACCUGAGAGGGUGACCGGCCACACUGGGACUGAGACACGGCCCAGACUCCUACGGGAGGCAGCAGUAGGGAAUCUUCCGCAAUGGGCGCAAGCCUGACGGAGCAACGCCGCGUGAGCGAAGAAGGCCUUCGGGUUGUAAAGCUCUGUUGCUUGGGGAGAGCGACAAGGAGAGUGGAAAGCUCCUUGUGAGACGGUACCGAGUGAGGAAGCCCCGGCUAACUACGUGCCAGCAGCCGCGGUAAUACGUAGGGGGCAAGCGUUGUCCGGAAUCACUGGGCGUAAAGCGUGCGUAGGCGGUUGUGUAAGUCUGAAGUGAAAGUCCAAGGCUCAACCUUGGGAUUGCUUUGGAAACUGCAUAACUUGAGUGCUGGAGAGGCAAGGGGAAUUCCACGUGUAGCGGUGAAAUGCGUAGAUAUGUGGAGGAAUACCAGUGGCGAAGGCGCCUUGCUGGACAGUGACUGACGCUGAGGCACGAAAGCGUGGGGAGAAACAGGAUUAGAUACCCUGGUAGUCC
rnacentral:rRNA from 1 species